ensembl:miRNA
AAUCCUUGGAACCUAGGUGUGAGUGAUGUUUCAGUGCAACACACCUGUUCAAGGAUUCAAAGAGGCU